UUAAGCGACUAAGCGUACACGGUGGAUGCCCUGGCAGUCAGAGGCGAUGAAGGACGUGCUAAUCUGCGAAAAGCGUCGGUAAGGUGAUAUGAACCGUUAUAACCGGCGAUGUCCGAAUGGGGAAACCCAGUGUGAUUCGUCACACUAUCGUUAACUGAAUACAUAGGUUAACGAGGCGAACCGGGGGAACUGAAACAUCUAAGUACCCCGAGGAAAAGAAAUCAACCGAGAUUCCCCCAGUAGCGGCGAGCGAACGGGGAGCAGCCCAGAGUCUGAAUCAGCUUGUGUGUUAGUGGAACGGUCUGGAAAGUCCGACGGUACAGGGUGAUAGUCCCGUACACCAAAAUGCACAGGUUGUGAACUCGAAGAGUAGGGCGGGACACGUGGUAUCCUGUCUGAAUAUGGGGGGACCAUCCUCCAAGGCUAAAUACUCCUGACUGACCGAUAGUGAACCAGUACCGUGAGGGAAAGGCGAAAAGAACCCCGGCGAGGGGAGUGAAAAAGAACCUGAAACCGUGUACGUACAAGCAGUGGGAGCACCUUCGGGUGUGACUGCGUACCUUUUGUAUAAUGGGUCAGCGACUUAUAUUCUGUAGCAAGGUUAACCGUAUAGGGGAGCCGCAGGGAAACCGAGUCUUAACUGGGCGUUAAGUUGCAGGGUAUAGACCCGAAACCCGGUGAUCUAGCCAUGGGCAGGUUGAAGGUUGGGUAACACUAACUGGAGGACCGAACCGACUAAUGUUGAAAAAUUAGCGGAUGACUUGUGGCUGGGGGUGAAAGGCCAAUCAAACCGGGAGAUAGCUGGUUCUCCCCGAAAGCUAUUUAGGUAGCGCCUCGUGAAUUCAUCUUCGGGGGUAGAGCACUGUUUCGGCUAGGGGGUCAUCCCGACUUACCAACCCGAUGCAAACUACGAAUACCGAAGAAUGUUAUCACGGGAGACACACGGCGGGUGCUAACGUCCGUCGUGAAGAGGGAAACAACCCAGACCGCCAGCUAAGGUCCCAAAGUCAUGGUUAAGUGGGAAACGAUGUGGGAAGGCACAGACAGCCAGGAUGUUGGCUUAGAAGCAGCCAUCAUUUAAAGAAAGCGUAAUAGCUCACUGGUCGAGUCGGCCUGCGCGGAAGAUGUAACGGGGCUAAACCAUGCACCGAAGCUGCGGCAGCGACACUAUGUGUUGUUGGGUAGGGGAGCGUUCUGUAAGCCUGCGAAGGUGACCUGUGAGGGUUGCUGGAGGUAUCAGAAGUGCGAAUGCUGACAUAAGUAACGAUAAAGCGGGUGAAAAGCCCGCUCGCCGGAAGACCAAGGGUUCCUGUCCAACGUUAAUCGGGGCAGGGUGAGUCGACCCCUAAGGCGAGGCCGAAAGGCGUAGUCGAUGGGAAACAGGUUAAUAUUCCUGUACUUGGUGUUACUGCGAAGGGGGGACGGAGAAGGCUAUGUUAGCCGGGCGACGGUUGUCCCGGUUUAAGCAUGUAGGCUGGUUGUCCAGGCAAAUCCGGAUAAUCAAGGCUGAGGUGUGAUGACGAGGCACUACGGUGCUGAAGUAACAAAUGCCCUGCUUCCAGGAAAAGCCUCUAAGCAUCAGGUAACAUCAAAUCGUACCCCAAACCGACACAGGUGGUCAGGUAGAGAAUACCAAGGCGCUUGAGAGAACUCGGGUGAAGGAACUAGGCAAAAUGGUGCCGUAACUUCGGGAGAAGGCACGCUGGUGUGUAGGUGAAGCCCCUGCGGGUGGAGCUGAGACCAGUCGAAGAUACCAGCUGGCUGCAACUGUUUAUUAAAAACACAGCACUGUGCAAACACGAAAGUGGACGUAUACGGUGUGACGCCUGCCCGGUGCCGGAAGGUUAAUUGAUGGGGUUAUCCGUAAGGAGAAGCUCUUGAUCGAAGCCCCGGUAAACGGCGGCCGUAACUAUAACGGUCCUAAGGUAGCGAAAUUCCUUGUCGGGUAAGUUCCGACCUGCACGAAUGGCGUAAUGAUGGCCAGGCUGUCUCCACCCGAGACUCAGUGAAAUUGAACUCGCUGUGAAGAUGCAGUGUACCCGCGGCAAGACGGAAAGACCCCGUGAACCUUUACUAUAGCUUGACACUGAACAUUGAGCCUUGAUGUGUAGGAUAGGUGGGAGGCUUUGAAGCGUGGACGCCAGUCUGCGUGGAGCCAACCUUGAAAUACCACCCUUUAAUGUUUGAUGUUCUAACGUUGGCCCCUGACCGGGGUUGCGGACAGUGUCUGGUGGGUAGUUUGACUGGGGCGGUCUCCUCCCAAAGCGUAACGGAGGAGCACGAAGGUUAGCUAAUCCUGGUCGGACAUCAGGAGGUUAGUGCAAUGGCAUAAGCUAGCUUGACUGCGAGCGUGACGGCGCGAGCAGGUGCGAAAGCAGGUCAUAGUGAUCCGGUGGUUCUGAAUGGAAGGGCCAUCGCUCAACGGAUAAAAGGUACUCCGGGGAUAACAGGCUGAUACCGCCCAAGAGUUCAUAUCGACGGCGGUGUUUGGCACCUCGAUGUCGGCUCAUCACAUCCUGGGGCUGAAGUAGGUCCCAAGGGUAUGGCUGUUCGCCAUUUAAAGUGGUACGCGAGCUGGGUUUAGAACGUCGUGAGACAGUUCGGUCCCUAUCUGCCGUGGGCGCUGGAGAAUUGAGGGGGGCUGCUCCUAGUACGAGAGGACCGGAGUGGACGCAUCACUGGUGUUCGGGUUGUCAUGCCAAUGGCACUGCCCGGUAGCUAAAUGCGGAAGAGAUAAGUGCUGAAAGCAUCUAAGCACGAAACUUGCCCCGAGAUGAGUUCUCCCUGAGACUAUAAGUCUCCUGAAGGAACGUUAAAGACGAUGACGUUGAUAGGCCGGGUGUGUAAGCGCAGCGAUGCGUUGAGCUAACCGGUACUAAUGAACCGUGAGGCUUAACCUU
rnacentral:rRNA from 1 species